rnacentral:rRNA from 1 species
AACUUGGUUAGGUUGCUGCUGGCUCUUAGGAGCAUGUGCACGCCGACUCCAUUUUUAACCACCUGUGCACCUUGAGUAGACCUGAAUGUAUGUCGAGGAAACUCGGUUUGAGAAUUGCUGUGUUUACAUGCCGGCUCUUCUUGAUUUCAGGUCUAUGUUUUCACAUACCCCAUACGAAUGUAUUUGAAUGUCGCAAUAGGCCUUGUGCCUUUAAAAUAAAUACAACUUUCAACAACGGAUCUCUUGGCUCUCGCAUCGAUGAAGAACGCAGCGAAAUGCGAUAAGUAAUGUGAAUUGCAGAAUUCAGUGAAUCAUCGAAUCUUUGAACGCACCUUGCGCUCCUUGGUAUUCCGAGGAGCAUGCCUGUUUGAGUGUCAUGAAAUUCUCAACCUUUCAACCUUCGUGGUUAGUCAGGCUUGGAUUAUGGAAGUUGCUGGCUCUCCNGUCAGCUCUUCUCAAAUGUAUUAGCAAAGACCUUUGCUGACCAUCUUUGGUAUGAUAAUUAUCUAUAUCAUUGACGAUCAGUGUCCUUUCACAAGGGAGAUCUUGCUUCGAAUAGUCUUAAUUGACAACUUGACAACUUUGACCUCAAAUCAGGUAGGACUACCCGCUGAACUUAAGCAUAUC